UCCUUGUACAUCAAAAGUUAAGUUCCUUGGCCAUUGAUGGAUGGAUUUCCAUAUUCUCCAUUGGAAUAUCAAAUUCCAAGAUAUACGGAUUGUACUCCCCCACCUCACAAUCCACCAUUUGCCUAAGUAGAUGGAUUCUUAUCACAUCUUAUAUGCACAAUGUUGAGAAGUGGUUUGAAUAAGGUCCAACCCCUAAUUUUGGAAUUUUUUCCUCUAAAGCAUUUUCAC
rnacentral:lncRNA from 1 species